CGAUUUUGAUGGAAUUAAAGUUGGACCUCAGUAUAAAAGUUAGGCCUCGAUCCGAUCUGAUGCUUUUUUCAGAAUAGACCAUAUACUAAAACCAACAGCAAACAUAGAAAUGGAACAUUAGAACCCAAUCAUGUCAACAUGGUCUCUGAAAAUUGGCGUAGUUGGGUUUGGUUCCUUCGGGCAAUUUCUGGCAAAGACUAUGAUCAAACAAGGCCACACUCUAAGGGCAACUUCUCGUACUGACUACUCCCUCUUAUGCCUCCCAAUGGGUAUCCAAUUCUUCAGGGAUGUUGCUGCAUUCCUUGAGGCUGACAACGAUGUCAUACUCGUAUGUACGUCCAUCCUAUCUCUCUCCGAGGUUCUCAGCUCUAUGCCACUCACUUGUCUCAAAAGAUCAACACUCUUUGUUGAUGUCCUUUCAGUUAAAGAGCACCCAAGAAAUCUUCUAAUUAAGGUAUUGCCAGAGGAGUCAGACAUACUGUGCACACACCCAAUGUUUGGACCAGAUAGUGGGAAGGAUGGGUGGCAAGAUCUAACAUUCGUAUAUGAUAAAGUUCGAAUCCGAGAUGAAGCUAUCUGCUCUAGCUUCCUCCACAUUUUUGCAAGUGAGGGCUGCAGGAUGCUACAAAUGUCUUGUGAGGAACAUGAUAAAAUAGCUGCCAAGAGUCAAUUUAUUACACACACUAUAGGCAGGACAUUGGCAGAAAUGGAUAUCAAGUCCACACCUAUUGAUACAAAAGGCUUUCAUUCACUUGUUCAAUUGGUAUGGUAUCAAUGUGGUUCUUUACAACUUGUUGCAGAAGGACACCACCAUCAGAGAUAGUUUUGACUUGUACAGUGGAUUAUUCUUACAUAAUAGGUUUGCUGUACAAGAGUUGGAGAAUCUUGAACAUGCCUUGCACAAAGUCAAAGAAAUGCUGGUUCAAAGGAAGAGUGAGGAGCUGGGUCUAGAAAAAACUGAAUGUUGAUGUAUAAUCCUCUUGUUGACAAUGGUUUACUAAUGUAUAAUCUCAAAUAACUUACCAACAGUGGCAACAUUCUUCACAAGUUUCAUUAUAUUUUAAUCCUCCAAGUACAGACAAAUUUUUCACAUAAUAAAAUCAUGUGAAAAUCUAAUUGAGAAGAUCGAUUUCCAUGAAUCUUUAUAUCUA